rnacentral:lncRNA from 1 species
UUUUCUCUCCAGAAAUUAUCACAUAUAGACCAAUUUUUCAUUCACUUGAAAAACUUACACAUACGCACACAAUUUCAUCAAUACGCACAGUGAGAAAAAAAUAAGUAAAGCAGUGGAGAGAGAGAGAGAGUGAAGCAAUGGGUGAAGGAGAGAGUCCACUGAACUCGUACGGACGACCAGAUCUCGCCAGUGAUUCGGCACCGACCAAGUCCACUCCUAAAAAACAGCUUCGUUAUUCACCGAAAAACACUCAACAACCCAACCAAAAUUGACCGAUCUUUAUCCGUCCCAUCGCGUCUCAUCAAAAAAUUCCAUCAAUGAUGCAAAUGGGUGCGCAAUUUCACUGGUGACUCAAAUCUUUGUCAGAUUUAGGUGUCAUUAUUUAGGUUUUAUUUUCGAGUCAUCGCGGAGUUCUUUUCGAAUUGGAUUUUGAGGAAUUUUAUGUUAGAAUUAGUUCAAAGUCGAGAUAUCGGUGUUCGUUGAGGUUCCAAUGAGAUCCAGUUCAUGAGCUCCGGGCAGCUGUGCAAUUUGAAAUCAAAAGUGCAAUCAAAUAAUAAUCGCAGUUCGAAACACUCAAUUUAAGGUCCAUCUCUCUAGUCUUAUUCUUAGUUAAUUCUUGGUUUUUGUGUGAUUAAUUGAUAUUGUCUUGAUUUUUCUCUUAUUUUUAGUGUGAUGUGAAUGAUGGAUUUUUAUUAUAUUGACAGUGGAUGGUUAAAAUUGUUAAUCGUGAAUUGUGGAAAUUUGGUGUUAAAAGGGAAUUCGGGGUGCGAAUUAAAAAUUGUUAAAGUGAAUUAGGAUUAAUUUUGAUUUAUUGUUGUUUUGAUUCAUUGUUAUUGUUACUUUCACGCCUAAUUGUCAAUUUCACGAUAGUAUCAUGAUAGGUCAAACGGGAUAGGCAAUAGUAGGUUCAGGUAGGCAAAUUAAGAACUUGUAGAUGAUGGGAUGUUUGAAAUGUAUGUUGAAUGGCUUUGUUUUAUCGCAUUUGACUCAAUU